rnacentral:rRNA from 1 species
GAGUUUGAUCCUGGCUCAGAACGAACGCUGGCGGCAGGCCUAACACAUGCAAGUCGAGCGCACUCUUCGGAGUGAGCGGCGGACGGGUUAGUAACGCGUGGGAACAUACCCUUUUCUACGGAAUAGCCUCGGGAAACUGAGAGUAAUACCGUAUACGCCCUUCGGGGAAAGAUUUAUCGGUGAAGGAUUGGCCCGCGUUUGAUUAGAUAGUUGGUGGGGUAAUGGCCUACCAAGUCUACGAUCAAUAGCUGGUUUGAGAGGAUGAUCAGCAACACUGGGACUGAGACACGGCCCAGACUCCUACGGGAGGCAGCAGUGGGGAAUCUUAGACAAUGGGCGCAAGCCUGAUCUAGCCAUGCCGCGUGAGUGACGAAGGCCUUAGGGUCGUAAAGCUCUUUCGCCAGAGAUGAUAAUGACAGUAUCUGGUAAAGAAACCCCGGCUAACUCCGUGCCAGCAGCCGCGGUAAUACGGAGGGGGUUAGCGUUGUUCGGAAUUACUGGGCGUAAAGCGUACGUAGGCGGAUUGGAAAGUAUGGGGUGAAAUCCCAGGGCUCAACCCUGGAACUGCCCUGUAAACUAUCAGUCUAGAGUUCGAGAGAGGUGAGUGGAAUUCCAAGUGUAGAGGUGAAAUUCGUAGAUAUUUGGAGGAACACCAGUGGCGAAGGCGGCUCACUGGCUCGAUACUGACGCUGAGGUACGAAAGUGUGGGGAGCAAACAGGAUUAGAUACCCUGGUAGUCCACACCGUAAACGAUGAAUGCCAGACGUCAGGGGGCUUGCCCUUUGGUGUCACACCUAACGGAUUAAGCAUUCCGCCUGGGGAGUACGGUCGCAAGAUUAAAACUCAAAGGAAUUGACG